rnacentral:misc_RNA from 1 species
GAAAUGCGAUAAGUAAUGCGAAUUGCAGAAUUUCCGUGAGUCAUCGAAUCUUUGAACGCACAUUGCGCCCUCUGGCAUUCCGGGGGGCAUGCCUGUCCGAGCGUCAUUACGCACCCUCAAGCCCGGCUUGUGUGAUGGGCCCCGGCGUCUCGUUCGCGAGACGGGCCCGAAAGGCAGCGGCGGCGUCGACCCGAUGAGCCCGAGCGUAUGGGGACUUCUGUCACACGUUCGCGGUGCGGACCGGCGCCUGCUUGACUUUUCUGAUUAUCCAGGUUGACCUCGGAUCAGGUAGGGAUACCCGCUGAACUUAAGC